CACCAUCUGAAGUGGUGUUUCUGCAUCCAGCCACGAGAUCCAGGUCUUCUGCAGCAGUGCAUCCCCUGCGCCUCCCUUCAGUCUCAAGCCUCCAAGCAGCCCCUUGGAACUCCCAGAAGACCUCUCCCCAGACAGAAGAUGGAUGGGAGACCACUGGAGACUUCUGGAGAGACCACAGAUAUCGGGAGUAAUCCACAAUUGGGCACAAGAAACACAUUUUUAGACUAGGUGUGCCAUGAAAAAAUUGGUGUGCCAUGAAAAAAUUGCUGACACCGUGCUGUGAGUCAAGAAAGCUUGGGAACCACUUCUGUAGACAAUAGACAACAUCUGUUAUUUUACUAUCUAUACAUGUAAAACAUUGUUUCUCUUCUUCUGUAUAUUUAUGUCAAAUAUAAGCUUGCAUCUGCAGCAUGAGUGACAUGGAUAUGUGGCUUUCUGACAAUCUAACAAAUAAAAGUAGC